GCUUUGUAGGUGAACAUUAGAAGAAAGAUUAGCAAGGAGGAAAAGUUGGCAUUGGUGAAAGCUGGGAGGGAGGAUAGAGGGAAGUACCAAGCCCGAACUGCUGUGAAGCAGAAUAAGAAAGGAGGUUUGAGCAAUCGACAAAAGGAGCACAAGAAGGCAAUGCCUCUUGCUGCAAAGAGAGCCAAGGUCACACGAACCCGGGAAGUGAAAAA